CUAAGGAAGCCGACCCUGGCUGGUCCGGCACCUUCAAAGCCCAGAUGGCGCGUCUCUGCCGCCGCCGGCGCAUCCCUUCUCACGGUUCUCGACGUGCUCCUCAGUGGGGCACGGCCGGGCUAGUAGCUCAGUUGGUUAGAGCGCGCGCUUGAUAAGCGUGAGGUCGGAGGUUCAAAUCCUCCCUGGCCCACCAUGUUUAGCGAUCGUGCGUUUGCCGAUCGGGGGCAUAGCUCAGUUGGGAGAGCGCCUGCUUUGCAAGCAGGAGGUCGUCGGUUCGAUCCCGUCUGCCUCCACCAGUUUUUCUGGUGUCGAGCGUGGAUGAUCGGCCGCCCGAUUACGAGGACCGUUGGAAGGAACCACAACACGGCAACGUGAACAGCAACGAGCGCGCAGCGCUCGUUGCUGUGUCCCUGACGGGACGGGAUCAUGGACAAGUGAAGAUGAAGUGCAAGUGACCGAGGACGCUCCUCGGCCGGCCCAGACCCACAAGGUCAAAGCUGGCUGGGAGUAGCAUCGAACGGCGGAAACGACCAGCCCUGUCGGUUGGUUCGCGAGCAGGCUUGUUCCUGCGCGUGGCGCAAGCGUUUUCGUUGGAGUUGAG
rnacentral:tRNA from 1 species